UUAAGUUCAGCGGGUAGUCCUACCUGAUUUGAGGCCACAUUAAUGAAAAUUUGUCCAAAUUAAUGGACUGUUAGGAGCUGAACUGCUUCACGUUCAACAGCGUAGAUAGUUAUCACACCAAUGAAACGGUCAACAAAAUGUUCCGCUAAUGCAUUUCAGGGGAGCUGACCUCGAGAGGCCAACAAAACCCCCACAUCCAA
rnacentral:misc_RNA from 1 species